CUACGAGCAAUAAUAUUCCGGGUCGACGGCUGAAGUUGCUGACGGGACGCCAUUACUGAGUCGUAGUUAUUUGAAGGAAUUUUGAUGUUGUGUGCCUCGACAACAUCCGGAAGCUGAGAUUCGACUCGUCCAACCAAAUAUUGCACGUAAUGACGUAGAAUGUGACAGUGUUCUCCAUGGCAGUAGUUGGUGCAGACUGCCGAAGUAUUUUAUAGCCAGGAUGAAUCCAGGCAGUGGUAGCCAGGAGUCUGUCAUAUGUGGCUUCUGCAUCAAGGACUAACUGAUGUCAGUCACCCUAUUGUCUAAGGAGCUACAUUGUGAUUUGUGGAGUGAAAGGCUGGCCUGGAAAACAUGCAAAGCACCCACGUACUGCACUGGUGACAUACACUUUGAAGGAGACGGCUCUCUUCCCGUGAUCCACGGAACAACAUUUAAGGUCUUCCCAAGAUGGACGUAUGGAACACUACCUGGAGACCCUACAAAUUUCGAGACGAAUACGAGGAAUUUUUGGAACUCUUGUCUAACAGGAUGUAAAUCCUCAACUACACAUACGCACAUGUAACACACUUCUAGUUUAACAUGAGCUCAGUCCCUGAACAGGAGGCCAUAUGUCCCCAACCACGUGCAGCUAGUCCCUGAGCAGGAUUAUCAGUUUUAAACUGUUCCCUGACGUACAGGCUACGUGAAGGAGGCCCUACACCCUGACAUACUGAACACGGGCAGCUAGUCCCUGAGCAGGAUUAUCAGUUCCGACUGUUUCCUGACAUACAGGCUACGUGAUUCAGUCCCUGUGCA